rnacentral:rRNA from 1 species
AUGUCUCCAGAAUAUGUGAUGGGUGGCGCCUUUUCUGUUAAGUCGGACAUUUAUAGCUUUGGUGUUCUUCUCUUGGAGAUUGUAAGUGGCUUGAAGAUCAGCUCACCUCAGCUUAUAAUGAACUUUCCAAACCUUACAACAUAUGCGUGGAGAUUAUGGGAAGAUGGAAAUGCAAUGGAACAGGUGGACUCAACAAUUGCUGGUAGUUGUCCAAUUCAUGAAGUUCUACGGUGCAUUCAUGUGGGACUCUUGUGUGUUCAACACCAUUCAGAUGCUAGGCCACUCAUGUCAUCGGUUGUGCUUAUGUUGGAGAAUGAAAUCACUUUGCUUCCAGAGCCGGAGCAACCUGCAUAUUUUGCAGCAAGAAAUCAGGAAAAUGGACAUACCAGGGAAAACAUGGAUAAUUCACAAAAUACCAUGAGUAUCACAACACUAAUAGGGCGUUAG